GACUACAGGGGUAUCUAAUCCUGUUUGCUCCCCACGCUUUCGUGCAUGAGCGUCAGUACAGGCCCAGGGGGCUGCCUUCGCCAUCGGUGUUCCUCCUGAUAUCUACGCAUUUCACUGCUACACCAGGAAUUCCACCCCCCUCUGCCGUACUCUAGCCUUGCAGUCACAAACGCAGUUCCCAGGUUAAGCCCGGGGAUUUCACAUCUGUCUUACAAAACCGCCUGCGCACGCUUUACGCCCAGUAAUUCCGAUUAACGCUCGCACCCUACGUAUUACCGCGGCUGCUGGCACGUAGUUAGCCGGUGCUUCUUAGUCCGGUACCGUCAUCCACAUCCUAUAUUAGAGAAUGCGAUUUCUUCCCGGCCGAAAGAGCUUUACAACCCGAAGGCCUUCUUCACUCACGCGGCAUGGCUGGAUCAGGCUUGCGCCCAUUGUCCAAAAUUCCCCACUGCAGCCCCCCGUAGG
rnacentral:rRNA from 1 species